GGGGAUUUAGCUCAGUGGUAGAGCGCUUGCCUAGCAAGCGCAAGGCCCUGGGUUCGCUCCCAGCUCCG
rnacentral:tRNA from 1 species